GUCUCGGUAGUGUAAGGGAUAAGAGCACGAUCGCUGGGAAAGACAAGUGCGGAUUCGAAUCCCGUCCGAGACU
rnacentral:tRNA from 1 species